CCUACGGGGGGCAGCAGUGAGGAAUAUUGGUCAAUGGGCUUACGCCUGAACCAGCCAAGUCGCGUGAGGGAAGACUGCCCUAUGGGUUGUAAACCUCUUUUGUCAGGGAGCAACGCCGGCUACGUGUAGCCGGACUGAGAGUAACUGAAGAAAAAGCAUCGGCUAACUCAGUGCCAGCAGCCGCGGUAAUACGGAGGAUGCGAGCGUUAUCCGGAUUUAUUGGGUUUAAAGGGUGCGUAGGCGGAAUGCCAAGUCAGCGGUAAAAGCGCGGGGCUCAACCUCGCUCCGCCGUUGAAACUGGCGUUCUUGAGUGGGCGAGAAGUAUGCGGAAUGCGUGGUGUAGCGGUGAAAUGCAUAGAUAUCACGCAGAACUCCGAUUGCGAAGGCAGCAUACCGGCGCCCAACUGACGCUGAAGCACGAAAGCGUGGGUAUCGAACAGGAUUAGAUACCCGAGUAGUC
rnacentral:rRNA from 1 species